rnacentral:RNase_P_RNA from 1 species
GAAGCACGCCAGACUGCCGCUGGUGCAAGGGUGGAAACACCGCACUGGAGGAAGGUCCGGACUGCAUAGGGCAGCGUAGCAGCUAACAGCUGUCCACCGUGAGGUGAGGAUCAGAGCUACAGAGACGAGCCGGUUAAGUCCGGGUGAAACGAGCAAUCUCUACGCGCAGCAAUACCAAGUAGGCACACGUUGACGGGGCCCCCGGAGUGUGCGGGUAGGUAGCACCGAGCCGUCUGGCGAC